AGAGGUCACAAGUUCAAGGCCAUAGCAGAAACACUCAUGGUGUGGCCCUGUCAGAUGCUGACAAAUCUGCAAAUUAUGCU
rnacentral:ribozyme from 1 species